rnacentral:rRNA from 1 species
UACGGAGGAUCCGAGCGUUAUCCGGAAUCAUUGGGUUUAAAGGGUCCGUAGGCGGUUUUGUAAGUCAGUGGUGAAAGCCCAUCGCUCAACGGUGGAACGGCCAUUGAUACUGCAAGACUUGAAUUAUUAGGAAGUAACUAGAAUAUGUAGUGUAGCGGUGAAAUGCUUAGAGAUUACAUGGAAUACCAAUUGCGAAGGCAGGUUACUACUAAUGGAUUGACGCUGAUGGACGAAAGCGUGGGGAGCGAACAGG